UAAGACAUAAAUAAAAGGACAAGCUUUCUGCUGCAAGUUUAGAGGUGCAUAAAACCAUCAUACAUCAAAAUGAGGGAAUGUAUCUCUAUCCACAUUGGGCAGGCUGGUGUCCAAAUGGGCAAUGCCUGCUGGGAGCUAUACUGCCUUGAGCAUGGAAUCGAGCCUGAUGGUCAAAUGCCAAGUGACAGCACUGUUAAUAGCGAAAAUGAUGCAUUCAACACGUUCUUUAGUGAGACAGAUUCAGGGAAGCAUGUCCCAAGAGCUCUUUUUGUGGACUUGGAACCAUCUGUUAUUGAUGAGAUCAGAACGGGUACAUACAAACAGCUGUUUAAACCUGACCAGCUAGUCUCAGGUAAAGAGGAUGCUGCAAAUAACUAUGCUAGAGGUUUCUACACAGUUGGCAGAGCAUUAAUGGAUGAUGUAACAGAUCGUAUUCGGAAACUCACUGAUAAUUGCUCUAGUGUUCAAGGCUUCCUGAUCUUUAAUUCAGUUGGUGGAGGCACUGGCUCUGGAUUCACAUCAAGGUUGGCGGAAAGUCUUUCUCGUGAUUAUUCAGGAAAAGCUAAGCUGGGGUUUAGCAUCUUUCCUGCCCCUCAGAUAUCAACAGCAGUUGUGGAGCCUUACAACUCUAUUCUGACAACAUAUGCUUCCUCAGAACACUCCGAUGUUGCUUGUUUGUUUGAUAAUGAGGCACUCUUUAAUAUCUGUCAACGUAACUUAGGUGUUGAUCGGCCAUCCUACAGCACCCUGAAUCGUCUCAUUUGCCAAAUUGUCAGCUCUCUCACGGCCUCUCUUCGUUUUGAUGGGGCCUUAAAUGUUGAUAUGGUUGAGUUCCAGACAAAUUUGGUGCCCUACCCACGCAUCCAUCAUAUGGUGACUUCCUAUGCUCCUCUUAUGUCUGCUGAGAAGGCCUACCAUGAGCAGGUUUCAGUUGAUGAGAUUACCAAGGCUGCCUUUGCACAAGAAAACCAGAUGGUGCAUUGCGAGCUCAAAAAAGGAAAAUACAUGGCUGUCUGUAUGAUGUAUCGAGGUGAUGUUGUGCCCAAGGAUGUCAAUGCUGCAGUUGCUAAAAUCAAGACGGAUCGUAGAGUCGAGUUUGUGGAUUGGUGUCCCACUGGGUUUAAGUGUGGCAUCAACUACCAGCCACCUACUGUUGUCGCUGGAAGUGACCAAGCCAAAGUGAAGCGUGCAGUCUGCUCAAUAGCCAACACAAGCGCGAUUGCUCAGUCAUUUGCAAGGCUUAACCACAAGUUUGACCUCAUGUAUGCUAAACGUGCAUUUGUCCAUUGGUAUGUGGGAGAGGGUAUGGAAGAAGGAGAGUUUUCUGAGGCACGUGAGGAUCUGGCUGCCUUAGAGAAAGACUAUGAGGAGGCUGGAGGAGACAGUGUUGAAGGAGAAGGUGAUGAGGAGGGAGCAGAAUAUUAAACAUUUAACCAUGCUAUAAUCUCAAAUGAUAGUAGACUAUAACUUAACUCUGUUGACAAUAUCCAUAAUAAUGUAAAUGUAGAGCACAAUGUUUGGUGUUAUUCACUUAAAUUCAGUUUUACUUGGUGAAAUAUCAAAAAUGUUAGUUCUACCAUUAUAAUUAAGAAUAUGUCUGUGAAUGAUUAAUAAGAAUGUGUUUGUAUUCAAUAAUUAAGAAUGUGUUUGUAAACAAUAAUAAAGAAUGUAGUAAACAAUUUUCAAGAAAGUGUUAGGAAAGUGUUAGGAAACAAUUAUUUAUUAUAAUUAACUGUCUAGAAAACUACAUAAAACAUAUCAUUUCUCCAUGAAAUUAAUACACAAAGUAGUUAGGUUGUUGGUCUUUAUUACUGGAAAGUUUAAAGUAAUUUUAUCAAAAACCAACAAAAUUAGAGAAGGACGUCCAAGACUUUUGGAUCACCCCU
rnacentral:misc_RNA from 1 species